rnacentral:rRNA from 1 species
UACAGAGGUGCCGAGCGUUAGGCGGAAUCACUGGGCUUAAAGCGUGUGUAGGCGGACGUCUAAGUACCUUGUGAAAUCCCACGGCUUAACCGUGGAAGGGCCUUCGAUACCGGCGGGCUCGAGGAAGGUAGGGGUGCGCGGAACUUCUGGUGGAGCGGUGAAAUGCGUUGAUAUCAGAAGGAACGCCGGCGGCGAAAGCGGCGCACUGGAUCUUUUCUGACGCUGAGGCGCGAAAGCCAGGGGAGCAAACGGG